rnacentral:rRNA from 1 species
AAAGGAAUUGACGGGGGCCCGCACAAGCGGAGGAACAUGUGGUUUAAUUCGAUGAUACGCGAGGAACCUUACCCGGGAUUGAAAUGGAGGGGAAUGAUGGUGAAAGUCAUCAGUCAGCAAUGACCCCUUUGUAGGUGCUGCAUGGUUGUCGUCAGCUCGUGCCGUGAGGUGUCGGCUUAAGUGCCAUAACGAGCGCAACCCUGACUGUCAGUUGCUAGCAGGUAAAGCUGAGGACUCUGACGGGACUGCCGGCGUAAGCUGUGAGGAAGGUUGGGAUGACGUCAAAUCAGCACGGCCCUUACAUCCGGGGCGACACACGUGUUACAAUGGUGAGGACAAAGGGCAGCUACCGGGCGACCGGAUGCCAAUCUCCAAACCUCAUCUCAGUUCGGAUCGGAGUCUGCAACCCGACUCCGUGAAGCUGGAUUCGCUAGUAAUCGCGCAUCAGCCAUGGCGCGGUGAAUACGUUCCCGGGCCUUGUACACACCGCCCGU